GGCGGCGUGCCUAAUACAUGCAAGUCGAGCGCAGGAAACAAGCUGAUCCCUUCGGGGUGACGCUUGUGGAAUGAGCGGCGGACGGGUGAGUAACACGUGGCAACCUGCCUUGUAGACUGGGAUAACUCCGGGAAACCGGAGCUAAUACCGGAUGACCAACGGAAUCGCAUGAUUCUGUUGUUAAAAGUGGGGAUUUAUCCUCACACUACGAGAUGGGCCCGCGGCGCAUUAGCUAGUUGGUAAGGUAAUGGCUUACCAAGGCAACGAUGCGUAGCCGACCUGAGAGGGUGAUCGGCCACACUGGAACUGAGACACGGUCCAGACUCCUACGGGAGGCAGCAGUAGGGAAUCAUCCGCAAUGGGCGAAAGCCUGACGGUGCAACGCCGCGUGAACGAUGAAGGUUUUUCGGAUCGUAAAGUUCUGUUAUGAGGGAAGAACAAGUGCCGUUCGAAUAGGGCGGCACCUUGACGGUACCUCACGAGAAAGCCCCGGCGUAACUACGUA
rnacentral:rRNA from 1 species